UUAAUUAUGUGUGAGACUGACAC
rnacentral:piRNA from 1 species